AUGGAUCGUGCACACAGCUUGGGAGACUCUGAGGUUGGAAGCCAUGGAGAAAUGGAUACAAUCCUCAAAUACCACCCAGCUUUCCAAGGAAUCCCAGAGAGCACAGCCCUAACCUGCUUCAGGCACCUUUCUUAUGCCAGGACCGUACAGGAUCAGCAAGGGAAGCACAGCAGCAGGGAUCUUCUCACGGGGAGAACAGCCACCUUCAGCAGAGAGGAGCCGUCCAGAAGGCGAGAUUUUCUGUUACCAGGGAAGACAGCUUUUCAUCUGGAUAUCAGUCAGUGUGAAAUUAAAUCCUGGCACAUUUGGGAAAUGGUCCAUGGAGAGGUGAUUAAUUCUGUUAGGGGAUCUGGAGGGAACUCACUCAUUUCCAUUGUUAAAGAAUCCAGAACUCAGAUGGUAGCAGAGGGUUUUUUGAGGUCUAAUCCUUACAACUUCGCUUCAGGAGCUGCUGCACAGGGUAACCCUAAAUAUUCCCCAGGAGGAUGUCUGGGGGAAGACCACAGCCCUAGGGUGCUUUUCCUUCCAGAACUAUUAGCAAUUUCCUGGUUAUCAGGGCAAUGCAGACACACGGAGAACCAUGGGAAGAAGCAGCAUGGUAGAGGUAGCAGGAAAUGUUCCUGUGUACUCUCUGUUCAGCCCAAAGGUCAGAGUUACUAUUACAGUACUAUGCUUGUGCAAAGUGUCACUUCCAACCUUUAUUUUUAA
rnacentral:lncRNA from 1 species